rnacentral:rRNA from 1 species
GGCUGGAUCAUUAUCGAGCUUAAUGAUACACUAUAUGCACUAUGGCAACAUAGUGUGUAGUGGCACGCUCAAUGAGCGGUACGUUUGAAAUGACGUACGUCUGCUCGCCACAGUGACCCAACGGCUCUCGGUUGGCGUCUACCCGUUCCUGAGCAGUUGUGCCUCGUCCGUGGCUGCGAUGAGGGAACGGAAUAUGCAUACGUCCUGCUAGUUCAGGGUAGCGGAUGCUGAGACUUAAUGAGCACCAUGCCUGGGUGCUGCCAACCAACCCUUUUUUUCUAACGAUUUUUUCGAAUAUAAAGACAAAACAUAUCAGUCUUGCCGGUGGAUCACUCGGCUCGUGGAUCGAUGAAGAACGCAGCAAACUGCGAUAAAUAGCGUGAAUUGCAGACGCUUUGAACGUUAAAGUUUCGAACGCACAUUGCGCCGUAGGAUUCCUACCCUGCGGCACAUCUGGUUGAGGGUCGUGAUCAUAACACAGCAUUGACUAUGGCUGUAAUAAAAGUAGCUGGCGAAUCACGUGUCCGGCCCACCCGCCUCGGGUUGGACGUGUUUUGCCAUUGUGCUUUAGAGGACAUUCCCCUUCGGGGGUUAUAUGCCUACCACACGGAUGAUCUAUUAGCCGACGCUAAAGGUCCCGGUCACUGGGUAUCAUGCUUAUGAUAUACUUGGUGGCGUCGGGGACGACGGCUAGUACGCUUCAUACGUGCCUGGUGAUUGAGAGUGAUUCGCUCUCCCGACCUCAACUCA